rnacentral:rRNA from 1 species
UUUAAUUCGAUGAUACGCGAGGAACCUUACCUAGGCUAGAAUGCGCGUGACCGCUUGAGAGAUCAAGCUUUCCUUCGGGACACAAAGCAAGGUGCUGCAUGGCCGUCGUCAGCUCGUGCCGUGAGGUGUUGGGUUAAGUCCCGCAACGAGCGCAACCCCUACUUUUAGUUGCCAGCAUGUAAUGAUGGGGACUCUAGAAGGACUGCCUGCGCAAGCAGUGAGGAAGGCGGGGACGACGUCAGGUCAUCAUGGCCCUUACGCCUAGGGCUACACACGUGCUACAAUGGCCGGUACAGAGGGUCGCUACUGCGCGAGCGGACGCCAAUCUCACAAAACCGGUCUCAGUUCGGAUCGGAGUCUGCAACUCGACUCCGUGAAGCUGGAAUCACUAGUAAUCGCGUAUCAGCAAUGACG